CCUCACCCAUGUUAGGCAAGUGCUCUACCACUGAGCUAUUAUGUGUGAAAUUUGAUUUUUUCUGUAUGUCAAAAUCAUUUAAAUGUGCCAGGGGAAAUUUAGUGUAAUCUUUUUCUUUCCUUCUUUCUUUUCUUUUUUUAUUGCCUUCUUUCUGCUUUCCAUGUAAAUAUAUUGCUCUUCUUUAAAAGUUUCGUUCAAACUUUCUAACAUUCAUAGAACAGCUUCCACAUAUCAAGCAUGUGAAGCAGUGAUAAUGGUUGGAAGGAGCAAGAUACUAGUCUGCUUUGGUCCCUGCCCCCAUCUAGUCAGGACCACAGGCUUGAAGACACCUGACGCAGCAGAAUGCACCCUGCAAAAUGUGUGGCUGUCCUUUAUGGAUUCCUGAGAAUUUGACCUAAGACUCAUCACUCAAGCAAGCCCGAGCCAGGGUAGAAGGAUGCCAGGCUGAGAUGAAGAGUCUGCCCUUUCUGCCUAGUAGCAUUGAAGGAGAGGAAGAGGAGGAGAAAGGACGAAGACAAAGAGAAGGAGAGGAAGAAGGAAGAGGAGAGGGAGCAGGUGAUGGUGAUGCAGGAAGAAGAACUUGCUACUUGGUGCCCAAUUACAAUGUUGAGAAAAAAGAAAAUUGAGCUCUCCUGAAGGUCCACUAUGUGCCAGGCAUCAUGCCUAAACCUAUCAUGUGGUUCAUCUGUGUGCACACACACGUCCAUCUUGAUGCUAGAGUCGGGAAGCAGCUUUUGAUUUUUAAAAAAUGCUUAAACUCAUUUCACUUGGAGAUGAAUGUCUACCUUUUCUAUCAUCUAUAGAUAAGCUAGACAUUUUGAGGGUAUCUUUGUCUUUUGUUUUUUCUCAAAGUGGAGGCCCUAAUUAAAUAGAAGAUGGAUUUUAGAAAUUGUUCUGGGAGGAUAUAAGCUUUGUUUCAUCCACAACCCAGUUGUGCCCUGGCAGUGGGGUAGGUUGCAGACAGGACAAAGAAAGUGCCCAAAGGAAGCUUUGGAAACAUGUGGUUUUCUGGUGGAAGCUUACAAGAGGUCCCUGACUAUUCCAAGAAGAAUUUAGUCGUGACAUUGUGACAGCACCUCUGUCCCCCAGGGUGCUUUGCCAAGAAACACAUUCUCUCUCUCAUGAUGUUUUGGUCAAUGGCAGCAGACUGGAUGGGUGACGUAUCCCCUUUCCACAGAGCCCUCAGCUCCGUGCCCAUCUUCACUCAGAGAGGGGUUUUUAUAUGUUAGGCUGCAGAAGCCGUGACAUCGUCAGCAUUAGUGAGCUUAGUUUGCUUGUCUGACCAGCAUUCCAAGGAGCAAUUCUCCCAGCAUACAUGUAAGAAAGUAGCUUUCUACAGAUAACAUGGACUUUCCCUGGGUCCCAGUGUGCAUGAGACAGUGUUCUUCAAGAUAAUAUGUAUCUGGGCUUUCUGAUCCAGGCUUGCUCUCAUUGUUCCCUUAACUUGGCUAGGAUUUUUGGAAACAGAAAGGAAGCAUUCAGUACAUGGUGUUUUACUGUUCCCCUUUGCUUUAGGGAUGGUACAAUCUUCAACGUUGAAAAUCCUUUGCAAUCCCAUUCCCUAGAAGGGAUGGCUCUUCCCUGUAGUGGAAGUGUCUCUGGAAAGCCAUGUUUUUCUAACUGUGGCAUCUCUUCUAGGCCUGGGAUUCUCUGUCUCUUGUUUCACACUUGGCAGGAUGCUUUGUCACUACAUAAAGCUGUUCUCUAUGAUGCCAUCUGGGAAUAAUAAAUGCAACUAUAGUUUUA